UGUACACUUGUUUUGACACAGCCUAGGAGCACAUGUAGCAGAAUAAAGAUUUUCAUAUUUUUUUCUGCAUAAAAAACUACAUGGGCACCUAGGCUAUGUCCAAUCAGGUGUAU
rnacentral:pre_miRNA from 1 species